rnacentral:SRP_RNA from 1 species
GGCCGGGCCCGUUGGGCGGGUGGCCCGUGAAUCUGGUCAGGGCUUGACCGCAGCAGCCAUAAGCGGCGUCGUCCGAGCCAGUGGUGUCCUGGCCGUC